UAUUUUUAUUUUUAUUUCCACUAUCGGUAUCGCUAGAGGCCCAUAGGGAUUCUUGAUACACGUGGAUAUAUAAAUAUUUUCUUUAUAAAUCACUGGCCGUCCCUAUAUCCCGUCUGAUAAUGGGCACCACAAUCAAAGACCGUCUUAAUAUUCCGUCAGAUAUAAGCGUAAUUUUUUAACUCCUAACGUCAUGCGGUAUGGGACUUCCCAGCCCUGUACGACUAAAGAUACAUCCAUGGUAGAGUUCAUCCUAUGUACCAAGUCCAUACACUCUUUCUCAUGAUACUCGGUAAACCUUU
rnacentral:lncRNA from 1 species